rnacentral:RNase_P_RNA from 1 species
AGGGCAGACUAGGCAAUCGCGUAAAGACUUUGGUUUUUAUGAGGAAAGUCCGGACUCCUAUCAAGCAUGGUACCUGCAGAGAUUUAUUCAAUGCAGGAAACGACUCAAAGCUGUUAUGGCUCAAGGUUGUUAUGGAAAGUGUCACAGAAAAUAACCGCUAAACUUCGGUUUAGUAAGGGUGAAAAUGUGCGGUAAGAGCGCACAAAUGUGCAUAGCAAUGUGUACAUAGGACAAACCCUACCAGGAGCAAGACAAAGUAAGCAAGCAGGGCGCUUGAUCCCGUACUUGCGGGUAUGUCGCAUAGAUAAAUGAUUGCUCCAUAUAUAGAAAUAUACAUGUACAGAAUCCGGCUUAUUGUCUGCCUUUAAU